UAAGUACUCCCUCCGUCCGAAAAUACUUGUCAUCAAAAUGGAUAAAAGGGGAUGUAUCUAGACGUAUUUUAGUUCUAGAUACAUCUUAUUUUUAUCCAUUUUGAUGACAAGUAUUUUCGGACGGAGGGAGUAUAUA
rfam:Triticum aestivum genome assembly, contig: Triticum_aestivum_CS42_TGACv1_scaffold_306577_4AS